CUACGGGAGGCAGCAGUGGGGAAUAUUGGACAAUGGGGGAAACCCUGAUCCAGCAAUGCCGCGUGUGUGAAGAAGGCCUGCGGGUUGUAAAGCACUUUCGGUUGGGAGGACUGCUUCUAGCACUAAUAUUGUUGGAAGUUGACGUUACCUUCAGAAGAAGCACCGGCUAACUCCGUGCCAGCAGCCGCGGGUAAUACGGAGGGUGCAGCGUUAAUCGGAAUUACUGGGCGUAAAGCGCGCGUAGGCGGCUAGAUCAGUCGGGUGUGAAAGCCCCGGGCUUAACCUGGGAACUGCAUCCGAUACUGUCUAGCUUGAGUACAGGAGAGGAGAGUGGAAUUCCACAUGUAGCGGUGAAAUGCGUAGAUAUGUGGAGGAACACCAAUGGCGAAGGCAGCUCUCUGGCCUGAUACUGACGCUGAGGUGCGAAAGCGUGGGGAGCAAACAGGAUUAGAUACCCUUGUAGUC
rnacentral:rRNA from 1 species